rnacentral:rRNA from 1 species
UACGGAGGGUGCAAGCGUUAUCCGGAUUUACUGGGUUUAAAGGGUGCGUAGGUGGGUCUGUAAGUCAGUGGUGAAAUCUCCGAGCUUAACUCGGAAACUGCCAUUGAUACUAUAGGUCUUGAAUUAUCUGGAGGUAAGCGGAAUAUGUCAUGUAGCGGUGAAAUGCUUAGAUAUGACAUAGAACACCAAUUGCGAAGGCAGCCCCCUGGGCUUAAAUUGACGCUGAGGCACGAAAGCGUGGGGAGCAAACAGG